GUGAGACAGUUCGGUCCCUAUCUGCCGUGGGCGCUGGAGAACUGAGGGGGGCUGCUCCUAGUACGAGAGGACCGGAGUGGACGCAUCACUGGUGUUCGGGUUGUCAUGCCAAUGGCACUGCCCGGUAGCUAAAUGCGGAAGAGAUAAGUGCUGAAAGCAUCUAAGCACGAAACUUGCCCCGAGAUGAGUUCUCCCUGAGACUUAGAGUCUCCUGAAGGAACGUUGAAGACGACGACGUUGAUAGGCCGGGUGUGUAAGCGCAGCGAUGCGUUGAGCUAACCGGUACUAAUGAACCGUGAGGCUUAACCUUACAACGCCGAAG
rnacentral:rRNA from 1 species